UACGGGGGGGGCUAGCGUUGUUCGGAAUUACUGGGCGUAAAGUGUGCGCAGGCGGCUCCGCAAGUCGAGUGUGAAAUCCCCGAGCUUAACUUGGGAAUUGCGCUCGAAACUACGGAGCUGGAGUGUGGCAGAGGAAGGUGGAAUUCCACGUGUAGCGGUGAAAUGCGUAGAUAUGUGGAGGAACACCGAUGGCGAAGGCAGCCUUCUGGGCCAACACUGACGCUCAUGCACGAAAGCGUGGGGAGCAAACAGG
rnacentral:rRNA from 1 species